rnacentral:lncRNA from 1 species
GGCGUACUGUUCAGGUGGACAGAGUCCUUUCUGGCCUGGGCUCUGUUUUUAACGGACUAUCUAGUGAGCUGUCAGUUCCAGCAUGCUGGAAGUGGUGAAAUUGCACUUGCUUCCCUCGCAACAAGGUAAGAGGAGUCAGUGUGUGAAGGGAAAAGAAACCACCUAUAAAGGACACAAAACCUGUGUGUGCCUUGCAGUGCUGACAAGAGGCUUCUUCUGACCCUAGCGAUUGUCACAGGCUUUCAAGCCCAGUGCUGAGGAAGGGCUAGAUUGUUAUAAGGAACAGGAGAUUCUUGCUUUUGAUAUGACUCUAGCAGUACACUGCUGUAGAGCAUUGUUCUCAGAAUAAUAAUUUCAUCUGCACAGCUACCUGGUACCUGGGAAAGAAGGAAGAUGCCCUGUUAAAACAUGAUGAAAGUAAAGGAGAGCUUCAGAAGGGAUGCUGGGAGGGAAAGGUAUGGGAGGGAGAGUGAAGAACAUAAGCUCAAAAAUUUCCUUACAGCUACUGUGUGCUAUAGGCUCCUUGCCCAUUCCUGGUCAGCUUUGCUAAGUGAGAACUUGGAGUAAGCACACGAUGGAGUAUUUAAGAAGCAAAUAAGAUGGCUAAAAGGGAAAGGGGUGUUUUCAAACACAAGUGAAAGUGGCAGUAACAACAAGCUGAUACAUUGUCACCUUAUUCAAAAAAUCGUUCUGUACUGGUUUUAUUUUAGAUCACUGCAAUCAAGAUCACUAUGGAAGUGUUCUCCUUGGUUGUAUAAACACCUUAUUGUAAAUGUUCAUUUAGCCAAAAUCUUGAGAUUGCCAAGUCAGAAUUGUUUUAUUAUUAUUUUUUUUUAAAGUUCUUUAUGUUUUAAAGUUUUCUCAGCUGUCACUUCUGCCCUGCUCUGAAGAAUGCCCAGAUUGCCAGUGAAUGACCAUCUCUGCUCUCCUUUGACAUGGUCUUCUUUUCUCAGUUUUUCCUCAAGUGCCUUGUGGUCUCACUUUCUGGUUCUUUUGUUUAUUUUCAAAAGCAGAAUAAAAGUUCCCAGGUUUGGUGUUAA